rnacentral:rRNA from 1 species
UACAGAGGUCUCAAGCGUUGUUCGGAUUCAUUGGGCGUAAAGGGUGCGUAGGCGGCGCGGUAAGUCGGGUGUGAAAUCUCGGAGCUUAACUCCGAAACUGCAUUCGAUACUGCCGUGCUUGAGGACUGGAGAGGAGACUGGAAUUUACGGUGUAGCGGUGAAAUGCGUAGAUAUCCAGCGGAACUCCGGUGGCGAAGGCGGCUCGCUGGACCUUAACUGACGCUGAGGCGCGAAAGCCAGGGGAGCGAACGGG